rnacentral:tmRNA from 1 species
GGGGGUGACUGGCUUCGACUUCGGUAGACGUUCCAGGGGAAGCGGGCCGAGGGUUGCGUUCGUGACCUCGUUAAUCCUGCGUUCGCAAUAAACACAAGUGCCAACACCAAGCGCACUGAUCUCGCCCUCGCUGCCUAAGCGAGUUUGAGAUCUGUCAGCCCGGGCGCGCCUCCGUCCCGGGACCUGGCAUCAGCUAGGAGGCUCACCGUUCAGAUCCGGCCACGGGGCCUGAUCGGAAAACCAACAGUGGCUGGGCCCGUCGGCGACUUGCCUGCGUGAGCGCCGGGGCCAAGCAGAACGAUUAGCAGGCUGCGCCCGGAGAAGCCCUGUUUCGAUGCCGAAGGACGCGGGUUCGAUUCCCGCCACCUCCACCA